rnacentral:rRNA from 1 species
UCCUUAAGGCCAAACCCUGUGAAAGCCUGAUCUUGUUAGGUCUCAGAAGUUAAGCAGGGCUGGGGCUGGUUUGUAUUUGGAUGGGAGACCACAGGGAAUAUCAGGUGGGAC